UACGUAGGGGGCAAGCGUUGUCCGGAAUCAUUGGGCGUAAAGCGCGUGUAGGCGGCCCGAUAAGUCCGCUGUGAAAGUCCAGGGCUCAACCCUGGAAUGCCGGUGGAUACUGUCGGGCUCGAGUCCGGAAGAGGCGAGUGGAAUUCCUGGUGUAGCGGUGAAAUGCGCAGAUAUCAGGAGGAACACCGAUGGCGAAGGCAGCUCGCUGGGACGGUACUGACACUGAGACGCGAAGGCGUGGGGAGCGAACGGGG
rnacentral:rRNA from 1 species